AGUGAAGCUUUUAAACUCCAGAAGUAGGGCUAGAAUGUUGUCAUGUAUCUAUUUAAUUAUUAUAGGCAUUAAUUAACUUUCUUAAAUAUAUCCUAGUAAGACACAUGGCAACCCUCUAACUUUGCUUGUGGAGUUUAUGAACUUCUAU
rnacentral:pre_miRNA from 1 species